UACGAAGGGGGCUAGCGUUGCUCGGAAUUACUGGGCGUAAAGGGAGCGUAGGCGGACAGUUUAGUCAGAGGUGAAAGCCCAGGGCUCAACCCUGGAAUUGCCUUUGAUACUGAUUGUCUUGAGUAUGGGAGAGGUGUGUGGAACUCCGAGUGUAGAGGUGAAAUUCGUAGAUAUUCGGAAGAACACCAGUGGCGAAGGCAGCGAACUGGCCCUAUAUUGACGCUCAGGCACGAAAGCAUGGGGAUCAAACAGG
rnacentral:rRNA from 1 species